CCAAUAGCGUAUAUUAAAGUUGUUGCAGUUAAAAAGCUCGUAGUUGAAUUUCGGGAUCAGUACGCUGGUCGUGCCUUCGGUAUGUACUGGUGUUACUGGUUCCUACCUUCUGACGAACCGUCAUGUCAUUAAUUUGGUGUGGCGGGAAAUCAGGACUGUUACUUUGAAAAAAUUAGAGUGUUUAAAGCAGGCUCGCGCUUGAAUACAUUAGCAUGGAAUAAUGAAAUAGGACGUUCGAUCCUAUUUUGUUGGUUUCUAGGAUUGACGUAAUGAUUAAUAGGGAUAGUUGGGGGCAUUAGUAUUCAAUUGUCAGAGGUGAAAUUCUUGGAUUUAUUGAAGACUAACUACUGCGAAAGCAUUUGCCAAGGAUGUUUUCAUUAAUCAAGAACGAAAGUUAGGGGAUCGAAGACGAUCAGAUACCGUCGUAGUCUUAACCAUAAACUAUGCCGACUAGGGAUCGGAUGAUGUUAUUUUUAAUGACUCAUUCGGCGCCUUACG
rnacentral:rRNA from 1 species